rnacentral:rRNA from 1 species
CAGCCGCCGCGGUGAUACGUAGGGUGCGAGCGUUAAUCGGAAUUACUGGGCGUAAAGGGCUCGCAGGCGGUUUCUUAAGUCUGAUGUGAAAGCCCCCGGCUCAACCGGGGAGGGUCAUUGGAAACUGGGAAACUUGAGUGCAGAAGAGGAGAGUGGAAUUCCACGUGUAGCGGUGAAAUGCGUAGAGAUGUGGAGGAACACCAGUGGCGAAGGCGACUCUCUGGUCUGUAACUGACGCUGAGGAGCGAAAGCGUGGGGAGCGAACAGGAUUAGAUACCCCAGUAGUCCCUGUCUCUUAUAA